GGGGACAUAGUGUAGCGGCUAUCAUGGCGGGCUCCAGACCCGCUGACCUGGGUUCAAGUCCCGGUGUCCCCA
rnacentral:tRNA from 1 species